rnacentral:lncRNA from 1 species
CUCUGAACCCCAUCGUGCUGAAAUGAGGGGUUCUGAAGAAAACCAAGAGAUUCGGAAAAUGGCUCCAGAUCAACUCAAGUCGGACACCCCUACUUCUACCCAUGCUUCAGAGUGCUGGACAAGAUGUUGAAAAGAAAGCAGACCUUUAUAGAACCUUUCAGUUCUUACCAUAUAGAUAACCAGAUUCUCCAGCUACUGAGAGAAGAGUGGGAGAAGAGACCAUUCCCAACACUUCCAAUAACCCAGUGCUAUGGACUGAAUUGUGCCCCC